rnacentral:lncRNA from 1 species
GCUCCCUCUACUCCCAGGUCCCGCUUUUCAAGUGUCAGCCAGCAGAGAGGCUCCGUCCUCCCUUCCCUUUGUGUCUCCUGGGCUAAAACUUGGGGCGCAUUGGGACAGGGAUGGUGCUUUCCUCAGGCCCAUUUAGGGAGGGGACUGGCUCCCAGCCUGGCACAGGUCCUCAGCUCUGCCUUGGUUGCCUUAGAGUGACAUGGAUCAGUCAGUGCCCUGAAGGUAAAUGGAAGAGACUGUCCCUGCUGUGUGGGAGGCUGGUCUAGGGAUGGAGGACUUGGCAGGUCCUCCCAGUCUGUCAGGCCUGGACAGCACUGUCCUGUCUCAGGACUCAGAAAAUCCGGUCUUGGGAUGGAAUGGUGCUGCCCAGGGUGGGUGGCCAGGGCUUGACAGCAGUCCCCCAGGGAGUGACCACAUCAGCCAACCAGGGUCCAGGGAGCCUGGCCUGAGACCCACCCAGUGCAUUGAGGGUGCACCUGGAGCCCACCCCACCUGAUGCCCCCACAGCCCUCGCAGGGUCUGACCUCCCAGCAUGCACCUGCCUCUCCCUGCACCCCAGAUGUCCACCCUGCUUUUUCCCUGAUUUCCUCCAUCCUGUCCAGCAGGAUGGGCUGGUCAGUGGGAUAGCCUCUGUGCACAUUUUGUGGCAAGUAGGAGUGACACAUCAUUCCUGGGAGGCCCCGUGGUUCCUGCCAAACCCAACCCCAGAAUUCUCCCUGAGGUGGUUUUACCAAACCCAUAACCCAGAACUGCUAUUGUGGUUUGGAGGUCAGCACCCACCAGUGCCAGGGCACUACUGGGAGGCUGGGACCUGACCAAAGCCCAUGGUGUCUGUGGCCUGAGGACAGGGUGUCUUGGGGCCAUGAGGACAGGCCACCAAUGGCCGUUGGGUCAUAGGGCCUGAGCCCCAGUGUUUGUCCUUCCCUGGCUCCUUCUGGUUCAGUCCCAUCAGGGCUCUGGAUCCCAAGACGCAGCAUCCAAGGUUCCCUCCAGGAAUCCUGGUGGCUCGGCUUACUUUGUCAUGUUUCAUCUGAUAGCAAAAAUAUCAGAUCGGCUGCACAGAAAAAUGGCUCAAAGUGCUUAAUGACCAGAAGAAAUCUGGGAGCAGCAAGAAGGUAAUGUGGAGAGGGGAGGACCUCCAUGACCGGUGUCUGCAGAGCCAGGGGUACAGGCACCCAGUGCAGUGAGCUGGCACCACCUGCCUCUCAGAGGGUGGGUAGCACACUGUCCUUACCUGGGGGACAGCAGGCCUGGUCACCGGCUUUUCUCCCUGUCCCUGCAAGCAUCACAUUGCUGGAAGAGAAUCUCAUGCCAGAGCUUGGACCAUCCCUAGCUUGGGGGUUAGGGGUUGUCUCUUGGUGACCUAAAUGAAAAAAUAGGUCCAGAUCAGAGUUCGUGAUGCAUAGCACUCACCCACUCUUUGAAGCAUGGGAGGGGAGGCCUAGUCCUAGGUAAACCUAAACUCUUUGAGGAACCACAGAGCCCAAGGCUGGAAACCUCCAGAAUCCUCCAGCCCCUGAUCCCACCCCCCCCCGGGGACCUCUGUGGCCUGUCUCACCAGAGCACUCUUCUGUCUGUAGAGGUCUCAGGUGCUCUACAAGGGAGUCCCAUUUCAGGUGUGGGGCUGGGUAUGGUCACUCCUGCUGGAUGUCUAGAAGGUGAAAACCAAGGACCUAGGAAAAUACCAGAUACAGCCUUUCCACCGUCAUCCAGAGCAGGACAAACACGCCAGGUGGUGUCAGGAGCCCAGGUCUCCAGCUGGAGGGAAUGUCAACCCUGCAGUGGGAGCCCAUCAUGCAUCCUAGGCACAGAUGCUAACGUAGGCACCGCAGGAAUCCCAGUGAAUAUAUUGCCACCAUCUUGGAGCUCAGUGCCCUCAUAGUGUAACAGCACCAGCAGAUCUGCCUGUGCACAGACUUCCUGUACUACCUCACUCCUGAGGGGAGAUGCUUCUGCAGGGCCUGCGACCUGGUGCACAACUUUAGACACCAUCAUCCUGGAGCGGCACUGCACCCUCACUAGCCAGGGUGUUGAUGACUUCCUCAAUGCCAAGGCCACGUUCAAGAUUUUCGACUUCAGUGAUGCGUUUGUGCUGAGCAAGGUGGGCUUCUCCGGGAUCUUAAUUCAGGAGGUAGAAUGCAGCUUGAGAUCUAGUGUCUGAUCAAAGAACUUAAACUUGACCUGGAGGGCUCUGGGGAGCCAUGGAAGGUGCUGGAUAAAGGAGGGACAGUCAUAUAUGUUUUAGAGAUGACUGUGGAAGGCUGCCUGGAAGGAGUGAACAAGAGCCAGGAGACCAGGGAGGGAGUUUGUGGGGCAGGUCUGGAGAUGGCAAGGGAGGGAUCCUGCUUGGAUGAAAGGUCUUCAGGGACUGUCUCAGGUUACACUCAGGUGCCCUCAGAGCUACUGUGUUCAGGGUUCUUGUCUCCAGGAUGAAAAUAAGGAGGAGUUGUCAGACAAGGACAUAUACAUGGAGGCUGGCAUCUUCAUGAGUGCCAAUCGUGGUCCUGGUGUGGACUACUGUGGGAGCAGGGGUCUCUCCAUCCAGGGACAUGGUGGGUGGACCCUACAUCACUCCAUUCUGCCCUUCCUUUCCGUCCCAUUCUCCUGAGGGACUCAAUGCAUGGGCACUGUCCAACCUCUGGUGCUGAAGCAGCCAAGAGACCCAAGCCUGCCUUGCUGCCACUUAGGAUAUGACAGCACAGCCAGUGGCCUCUACUGGAUCCUGGUACCCCUCAGAAGACACCCAGACACUGGGAGUGCUGCCACCUCGUGGUGCAAGAGUUCUGAGGGACGGCAAUUCUGAAGACAUUGAAUGAACUGAGGCAAAGAGCAAUACAGAGAGUUGCAAAAAUUCAUACCGCUGGUCCAGGUUUGAACCAAACAGUCUGCACCUGGAGUCCUUGUUUGUAACCAUGGCACCCUGUCUUCACACAUAUCUCAUCGUGGAGUUCCAUCUUGUGUUAGGCAUGGCACUGAGCAGCUUCUUUUAAGAACAUAAUUUGUAGCCAGGCGCAGUGGCUUAUGCCUGUAAUCCCAGCACUUUGGGAGGCCGAGGCGGGCAGAUCACGAGGUCAGGAGAUCCAGACCAUCCUGGCUAACUUGGUGAAACCCCGUCUCUAAUAAAAACACAAAAAAUUAGCUGGGCAUGAUGGUUGGCGCCUAUAGUCCCAGCUACUUGGGAGGCUGAGGCAGGAGACUGGCAUGAACCCGGGAGGUGGAACUUGCAGUGAGCCGAGAUGGCGCGACUGCACUCCAGCCUGGGCGAGAGAGCAAGACUCCAUCUAAAAAAAAAGAAAAAAACAUGAUUUGUAAUUAUGUAAAUUACUAAUUCUACUUCAAAGUGCCACACAGCCUUCAUGUGAUAAAAUGAAGCAAUUGGUAAGUCUAAGCAUUGAGAACAAACAUUAUUUUUCCCAGCUCCAUUGCAACAGUUGGGACAGUGUUUUCUCUGUGCCUAUAGAAACCUCAGCUAGUGUGCCGAGGAAUCUGGUCCCUUUGGGGAAUGUGGCAGUCAGGUUCUGGCAGGGACCUCGAAGUGGCUGGUAAUGUCUUUCAUUACCACCACCACGUGACCUGGUCUUACGACCUGUUAGCUUCCUUCAUCAGGCAUGAGCACCAGGAUGGCAGGGGCCUCAUCUGUCCUGUUCCUCCUGUGGCCUGGGUCCUAGCACCAUGUCUGGUACAGUGUAGGUGCUCAAGGGAAGUUUACUUUAUAGAACUGUCUACCUGGGAGAUGUUGCUGUUAGUCUAACCUGUACCAUUUUGUAAACCUGCAGCCGUUUUGCACACCCUGGUCAGAAUGAAACAUUCCUUGGGAACUCGGGCCGUGAGAAGCAUCCUUCCUGAUCACCUGACUGUAGAAACAUCCUUAUCGCACCCUCCCGGGCAAAGGCCCAACAGCCUGACUGCAGGAACAUCCUUGCCAUAUCCUGCCGGGCAGCAAGCUCUACCGCCCACACCCCUCCUUCCCAGUCCCAUGAUCACCCCAGCCUGU